rnacentral:tRNA from 1 species
GGUGGCGCAGUGGUAGAGCGCUUGCCUUGCAUGCAUGAGGUCCUGGGUUCGAUUCCUCAGCACCA